CAACUUUUGAACUACUAUUUCAAAAUUUAUUAAAAUUUUUAUACCUCUGAUAAAUUUCUAGUGACAGCAUAACUUUAAAUUGGUAACAACUUCUGAAAUUCUAGUUCAAAAGUUGUUAUCGACUAGGUUUUUUUUUUAACUACAUUAUUUUCUUAUUUAUAAAUUAGAUAAAUAUGUAUGUUUCGAUUAAAAAAAAAAGUUGAUACACCUUUAACGAAUAAGGGAUAAACCAAAAUUAUACUUAAUAAUAGUUAAAUCAAGAAUUAUAUGCGACUGAAAAAUACAAAAAAGAAAUUAUUAAAUUUAUAUUAUUUUACGAGUAAUCGAGUGGUUAAUGAUUCAUAGUGUAACAUGCAACUCUUUAAUAUUAAAAGGUAAUUGCCUAUUACUGUUGGUGUGAGGUGUUAUUUACUUGUAGAAAAACAAAAAAAUAAAGGAAAAUAAGAAGGGAUGAAUGAUGAAUAAUGGCAUUCAGAAGUGAACAGUGAGUAUACUUUUCGUUUAAAUGCUGAAGACUACAAGGGUAUUCGCUUAAUAAUUAAAUACUUCAGAGAUGGUCAGGGCCGAACACUAAUAGCAUGCACAGGCACGAAAACUUGAGGGAGCCAAGGCGCAACAAGAUGUGCAAUAAAACAAUAAAAUAUAUGUGCGCACAUACAAAAGAAGGCACUUGUUCUAUAACAUAUAAAUUAAACAAUGAAAUGUACUUAUACAUUAAUAAAAAAAAAGGAGCUAAGAUCACCUAGCUAUGUAGUAAUUCAAAAAGACAAAAAAUUAAAGAAAAAGGAUUAAGGAUGGAAAAAAAAAUAUUCUUAUGUAAAAUUGUAAUAUUUUAUCCGAGUCAUUGUUCAAAAAUAAUAAAGUCAUUAAAAUAAAUUACAGUAUGAAAUUAUUCUGUUCAUGUGUUCAAUUGUAAAAAUAAGGUUUUAUGUAUGUUAAGCAUCCCCCAGUAACAUGUGAAUUUACACAGCUUUUUUUCAUGGACUCUUCCUCGAGUGGCAUCGAUAACAGCACGAAGUCCUCACUCUAAGGAUUUCUUUUGCUCCCAAAAAAAGACAAUAUCAUAUUGUGCUCUAUUUGAAGACGUUGCCAAACACAUUAAAAAAAAAAUAAACAGAGACAUUAACACAGCAAAGAAUUUAAGUCAGUCGUUAGGUGCUUUAGCUAGAAAAGAUACUAAAAGUGCCCAGAAGCAUAUAAACAGAGUUGGUAAGAAUAUUUUGGAUAAUAUUAAAGAAAUGCCCGAGGACUUGGUAAAAUCCAUAGCUUUAUCAAGGGAAGUAAAAAAUAUCCAAUCAGUUUGGAAGCCAUAAUUCAUGUUAAAAUGUGCUAUAUUAUUGUAUUAUUAAUCAAUAAAAAUAUUUUUCUUAAUAUUUCUUAAAAUAAAAUGAAACUGAUUGUAUUAAUUAUGAACGAUUUUAAUUAUUUAAUCAUUUUUUUUAUAUUAUUGAAUUUAAAGUAACCCAUAAAACACUGUAUUUGCUUAUUUCAAAUGUUAACAUACACAUAUUGUAAUGUAUGUACGUUAAAAUUUAAAAUACCUAUGUCUUUUUAUAAAAAAAUUGGAUUUUCAAAAUAUGUAUAACGGUACAUUGUCAUUAAUAAUGUAAAAUAUGUUGGGCACCACUUUGUUGUAUCAAAAAAAGGAAACAACCCUAAUGUCUUAACUUAAGGUAAUAAAAAUUCAAUAAUAACGCAAUUAUAAUUAUUAAAGAUAUAAUUAAAAAUGUAAAACAUACAAAAUAAAGAUGUACUUAAAAGACUAUAAAACAAUACACAAAAUGAAAAUUUUAUGUCAAAAGCGCUUAAUUGUUCUGACUAGAAACAAGACGUUCCUUAUUAAAAACGUCAAUCCCCCUUUUUACUUAUCUCAUUUUACUUUAUUUAUUCUUGUUACCACCAUUAUUAACUUACUUAUCUUGUAUUCUCCCUCUAUAUGACAUUAUUAUUUUACUUAAGAAUUUAAAAUUAUUUACUACAUUAUUAAAAAAACUUAUACUACACUAAUAUGAGAUUUUGUUUAACACAUUUCUUAUAUAAAUUUGUUGAAAAAUCAUGUUCGAGAUGGCAUUAAUAAUCCGAAGUUGAUGCUACACUGACGGCUUGGAUCGUUUUCUACUUGUUAAAAUGUAUGUUAUUUUUCUUCUUCUUUAUUUUAUCUUUUUUUUGUUGUUAUUCAUGAAAAAACUGACAAAACUUUAUUUAUAUUUACAUUAUGGAAACUUUCAAUUAUUUGAAUCUUGAUCUAUCUAUUUUUUUUACUUCACACUCUUAUUUUAUUCAAUUAUUUUACCUUUGUAGCGAUUUUGUUACCAAGUCACAAACCGUAUGUUUUUUUUUUUACAUUUUUAAGUAUUUUUUGGGAACAACUCAUCGUAUAAUAGUAAUCAGUACUAACAACUUACCAUGUGUAGUAUCCAUAUAAUAUUUUGAAACUUAAUGUCAUAAAUGUACCACGAGAAAAGAGAUUACCGUCGGUGUUCCCGAGGUCCUCUCCCCUUUUUACAAUUCAUUACAUUUCGUCUUCUAUACUUAAUUAUUUUCUUUUUUUUACAAAUUUCAUAAUACAAUCAUUUUCAAAAAUGUUUAUAAAUAUUUACU